UCUUCUCUUAUGAGUCACGUCACACCAAACCCAUACGAGGAUUGAAUUACAAAAUCUGGUUUCUCAAAGAAACCCGAUUUCAGUAGAAGAUCGAUUUCAAAAUGAAGAACACGUUUCUUGUGGUUGUUUGUGCUAUAAUUAUCUGUUGGUCAUCGAUCGCAAUCGUAUCGGCAUCAGAUCGCUAUUGCCAUGGUUAUUUGGCUCGGGAAUUGAGACAGAUUUGUGCAAGAGAUGUAACUCCUUCAGCGGAUGCCAUUUACGAUUGCUGCCAUCAACUGUGUUCACAAUCGAAACUCUCAAAAUAUUGUUAACGUUGACUCGUGAUUGCCAGAAACAGAGUGGUACUGACUGAAUUAAUAACUUUGGCUCAAUCGAAGGAAUUUGAUGUAAUUCAUCGAACAUAUCAAUGCUCUCAUAGAACAUCGACCAAUCUGGAAUGUGAAAUAAAUUUUUAAUUUUUGAUAC